GCAUUAAUGGGGUAGAGGUAACCCAGGUCUUAAAGUUCGGUGUUGAAUAGCAAUCUCAAGACCAGCCGAGGGUUCGAAUCCCUCUUAAUGCA